ACAAAACUGCCCACUCACCUGGAGUUCGUCCAACAACUCCCUAGCACCACACAUCAAGGCGUCAUGACGAUCGCCGCCUAGAAUAGUAAUCAAAUCCAGGCUCAGAAUUCAUAUCGAUAGAAUACAUAACUUAUAUAAAAAUACGUCACUACGUAGAUUGAUCCGGAAGAUCCACCCCUCAGAUUUUAAAUCCAUAACUUCUAGAGGUCCACAUUAUACCUCUAGGACAACAUCCUAAAAUUUCAUUACCAUCCAACGGUCGGAUCUCCGUCAAUUUCCAAAACUAAGUGACGGUUAACAUUUUAUAUUAUGGACUUACAAUUCCAAUUCCGGAAGAUCCGUAACUCGGAUUCCCAAUCCGUAAGUUCCAAUAGUCCUUAAAUAUUACGUAUUACAACGUAUCAAAGUUUGGUGACGAUCCAACGGUCGGAUCAUCAAUUCACAUUUUCACCAAAACUAUAAAACGUUAUUCGAACACCUAACCAACAAUCCUCAAUAACUUUCUCAUACGGUGUUCAAUUUAGGUAUAUGAAUAUACCACAGUGAUCUACUCGACGUCACGGACGUCGACAUAUUUUUAAAAUAUUUUUAUUUUUAUUUUUUAUUUUACUGUAGCACCAUCUUCUUCCUUGGGUCGCCGGACUGGUUUUUCCGGCGGCCGUUUUCCGGGCAGUUUUUCAAAUUGCCAUAACUUUGUCAUUUCUCAACGAAAUCAAGUGAUUCAAAAACGAAAGUUGUAGCCCUUGAAGAGACAAAGAGAAUGGUACCUUUCCCAACACCUAGUUCGCCGUAGUUUGGCCGGAAACUGCCUCGAAAGCCUCGGAGGUCGCCGGAAACUGGGUAUUUUUCAAAUGAGUAUAACUUCUUCAAUACUCAACGAAAUUGAGUGAAACAAAAGGGAAAGUUGUAGUACUUGACGAGACGAAGAGAUUGAUACCUACCUUGACUCCUAACUCGCCGGGGAUUCGCCGGAAAAUGCCUCGAAAGCUCCGGCCAAACUUUGAACUCGUCGAUCUCCGUGUUCUUUCGUCCAAAAACUUCCAACGAAGCACUCCGAGCUUCCUUGGGACCUCACUAAGCUCGCUGUGAUCUUGUUUUAGCCUAAAACGUAGUUAUUAAAAGAUGAUGAACAGUGCUCUUCCACGGGGAGUUUAGAAUCUAGGUUUUCCGAAGUAAAACUUACCUGAAAUUGGUGUCUACGUGAUCGUGGAGUCUCCAGGAGUUCGAUGGUGGUCUUAACUCCGUCGUUGGUGGAAGUUUAAGGUUGUUUUGUGGUUGGUUUGUUCGAACGGAGAAGAAGAGUGACAGAGAGAGAGAGAUUCGUGAGGGAGGAGAGAGAGAGACAGUAUGCAGAAAAUAGGGAGAGGAUUGAGGGAUGUGGGGAUCCCUCGUGGUCCUUUUCCAAUCCCCAACUCCAAACCACAAAAUUUUAACCUAAAAAUCUAAGUUCCAUCCUUAAUAAAUUCCAUUUUAUUUUCAAAACUUAGGAACCUAGAUAAUUAACAAUUUGAGCUUCACAUACUUAGUAUUUCUUAAGGGCAAUUUCGUCCAUUCACAGCCACGAAUGUAAUAUUUUGGAACGGGCUGUGACAAUCUUCCCUCCUUAUAGAAUUUCGUCCCCGAAAUUCCAGCAACCAACCAAUUCAUCAACACUUAUACCAACCUCGGUAAGUUUCUUUCAUCCGAUUCUUUUUCUCCCACGUAAUUUUCUUCCACUGAAUGAUUCCUUCACAAAACUUUUACCAUUUACUCUAUCUUAACUCUCAGGACCUUCUUUUUCCAAUCCAAAUUCUACUUUUCUAAGGUGAACACUUCUAAAAUAUAAAACCAUUUGCCUUACACACUCGAUUAGUGGCAUAUCCAUCUGUUGAUCUCUUUUGCCAUUCACAAGUCAUCAAAAACCGACUCACGUGACACAUUUCAUGGUCCUUAUGGCGUUACUUCGGAAACUGCACAACCAACAUACUUAAGAAACUUAGCAGUUCCGUAAUCCAAUUCUCUUUUCCAUAAAACAAAUAAGUAAUGUUGCACUGUCUGGGAAAGGUUGUUACUCAACACUGGAGUAAAUGUACUAACUUGUUAUCUAACAAGUAGAGCUUCUUCUCGAUCUCCAGUUCUCAACUUUACUUUAGUUGGUUUCCAAUCCACAAGAAGAUAAUCAUGGCAAGCGUACCAAAUAUUAAUUCUUACUGCAGUCUUCUUAUCAAGUGCUUCAGCUACCACAAUUCACGAUCACCCUGAUCGUACAAUCAUAAUCACUAAGUAAUACAAUUCACUUUCGCUGCCUCAUAUCAAAAUCCUUCCAAGUAAUGGAUAUUGAAGACUUUUUGGAUUCGUAAAAAUCUUGCAUUCUUACCAAAUAUAAUGCCUUCAUAACUUCACAGCAAGAAUGGUAAUCAUGAUUUCUAAGUCACCCGUAGGGUAAUUCAUCUUAUGAGAUUCCAUUUAUCGUGAAACGUAUGCAAUCACCCUAACAUUUGCAUCAACAUGCAUCCAAUACCAUUCAAGAAACAUCACUAAAAAUUUAUGAUUACCACUAUUCUCUGGGAAUACCAAAAUACGUGCAUGAGUGAGGAAAUACUUCAGUUGUUGAAUCCUUUGCUCACAAUUUCCUUCCCACUCAUACAUAACCUCUUUUCUCAACAGUCUCGUCAAUGACAAAGCAAUGACUGAAAAAUCUUUCACAACCAUCCAAGAUAGCUUGGUAAGCUAAGAAAUUCUGAAUCUCAAUUACAGCUCGUGGUUGUUCCAAUUUCUCAAUUUCUGCUAUCUUUUAAGGAUUCACUUGAAUACCUUAAGAAUAUAUAACAAAUCUCAGAAUGCCACCUGAUUCGUCUAACUUUAGCAUUUGCUACUUAGCAUACAACCAACGUUCUCUCAAUCUUUGGUUCACCGACUUAAUACGUUUACAUGCUCUGCUCUGGCUCAGAAUAUGCCAGAAUAUCUUCAAUAAAAAUGAUAUCAAUCUAUCAAGGCAUUAUUGGAAUACUUCAUCCAUCAACUCAUAAAACAGCAUGAGUAUCCAUAUAGCAUCACCAAACUUCAUAAAGACUAUAACGAGUCCAGAAAACCAUCUUAUGAUCAACGUCACUUAUAAUAUUCAAUUGGUAGUAACCAGAUCUCAAUUCAAUCUUUGAAUCUUCGCAAUUACUUCUGAGCUGGUUAAAUAAACAUCAGUACAUCACCAUGGAUAACGGUUCUCAAUCGUUACCCGACUCCAUUGUCUAUAAUCAAUGAACAGUCUCAAGAUCCAUUUUCUUCCUCACCAACAAACUGGUGCUCCUCAACAGUGUUGUACUAGGUUGAAUAAAACUUUUAUCAACCAAUUCUCUCAACUGAAUUUCCAAUUCCCUUAACUCAUCAUGAACCAAUCUCCAAUAUAAAUUUAUACAUGGCAACAAAUCACUAGUGAACCUCAUAUCUCUGCCUGAAGGCAAUCUAGGUAUACUUUCAAGGAAGACAUCAAGAAAAGUCUAACCCCUUUUUGACAUUAUUCACACUACUCCAAACAACAUCAUUUAGCACCACACGAGCUAAUAUUUUGACAGCCUUUCGAAACAAUCUCUUUGCUCUCACAGCAUAAAUAACGGCCUGACUCAAUCCACUUUGCAUACUUACAAAAGUAAUCUCUGGUCAUCCAGAUCGAUGGAAAGUACUGGUUUCCCUUAACAUUCCGUCUUGUUACAAUUAUAACUAACCAAUCUAAUGGAAAUAAUUUAACCGACACAAUACAUACUCUAUUACUACUAAGCAUUCUGAAUAAGUACAAUACUAACAUAAAAUAAUCUACCGGUUUGCUUGCUUAACGAAUCCACGAAUGAGUUAUUAAUAUUACGGUCUGCAGCCCGCAAUACUGAUAAAUCAUCGUUGUCUCGAUAAGUAGGCAACCACUCUCAAAGAUAUAACAUUACUAUUUUGUCACUCAAUGCAAAAUACAUACACUCGUCUCAACUACAUUUAUUUACCACUCUCUAGGUAAUAUCAUACAUAAUAAGAAAUAUAUCAGCCGAAGUCAACUAGAAUGACCAAUACGGUUGAUUCAACUCUUAUCUCAAUAAUACGUCGGCCGGAUCCACUCCGCGUGGUCGGCACGGCCGAGCCUAUAACUCACCAAUUUCUCAUGUGUCAGUCAAAUCCAUCUCUCGUGGCCUGUAUGGCUGAACAUAUAACUCAUCAAAUAUCUCUGUACCCACAGUCAAUCCGACCAAACUACUAAGUCCAUAACUCUGCUGAAUCGACACUAUGAUAUCAUGGAAAAUUAUUGAGUACAACUGAUUCUAGGGACGAUUCACAAUUCUGUGUCCCCUCUGUUCACAUAAACACAUUCAUUAAUUUCACAUUUCCCAAAGUGUUAAUUUUGUACCUGCUGCACAAAGUACAUUUCCUUUACUCGAGACACCUUGUCUCAAAUAUCUGGGAUUACCAGUAUAUCCAUCACUUUUACUCUGACCAGCGACAUUAAAACCUCAGCUGGAAGAAUUAACUCUAGCUUCACUUCUUUCGAAGCUCUGAAUCUUUCUAUCUCCUUGAUAUGACGAAUCAUUAACUUUAUCGUCUUCUUUUAAUUCCCAUUCUUUUCUUAUUCUUCUUUAUUCUCGUUGCUCAUGUUCUCAGAGUCCUCAAGGCUCAACAACAUCUAGCAUACUCCUGAUAAGAACUACAAUGGAUAGUGGUCACCCAAAAUACCACUUCCCUUUUUGCCACCCAGCUUAAAACAACAUAACACCUCCACCAAAUUAACAACAAUAUCUGGAUGGAACGAGGCAAGUCUGAAAACUUUCUAUAAUAUCCCUCGAUCAUCACCUUCCUUGUCUCAUAUUUGUAAACUCUUGUUUACUACCAUCGAUAAAUGCCGGAGGGAUAAACUUUUCCUUAAACAAGUCCUUAAACAAUUUUAAAUCGGCUGUUCCUCCGAUGACAACAAUUAAUAAUCCUGUUUCCACCAGGAUACAAAUUCAUACCCAAAACCAGGUAAUCGUCUCGACCCCCUGUCAGAAGGAAGAUUCCUUUGACUUGCAUAAUCUGAAACAUCUUUACCAAAUGGUUAAACCGUUACUUCGCUCCCUCAGGUUCAUCAUUUCAUAAGGUGAUUCAAAUUCAACUCAUAACCCGUCUUAAAAUGUCCAUUUUGAUAAUAUACUGAAUCACCAUAAUAAUAGUUUCCCCCUAAACCGCUAAAUCAGGGAGACUAAGUUCCUCUAACUAUGUGGCUUGCUACGAGGCGGUGUAGUUCUGACAGAAUUCACUAGAACUUCUCAAAAUGUCCAAGAUUGCAACCAUGCUCUGAUACCAACUGACACACCCCGUCCCGAAGGAGGGCAUGCUGGCCGUCACGUGAGAGUGACGUAACCAUUUGCACAGUACGGAAGCUUUAAGAUACAAUUUAAAUUGAUACACCCGAAGGUGAGUCCUAAUUUUGUCCAAUCUGUCAGAACACCGUCGAAUUCCUCGUAGUCACCACACCUUUGUGAUUCCUGAACCUGGAGGGGCGCAAAACCAAAAUUGAGUGGGUCAGUAAAACAAUUCUUUUCCAAAUCCAAACAUUUCUCAAAACGUUGUAACCCCUCUCCGUAAAACCUGUAUACUUUCCCAGAAAUGUAAAAUAUAAUUAUACAUAUAUAUUCUCAAUACUUCAAUUCAUUACUCCACAUUUUUCAGUACAAAUAUGCCAUGCCAUAUCGGAAUUCAUCAGUUAAGUAUGAAUGCAUCAACAGUAAUUAUAUCAGGUGCAAGAAGUAAUCAACCGGAGGCCCUCUAAUAGCCCUGUACGGUUGAACCUAGAGCUCAAAAUCUAUCACUCUCACUCUGCCGGAGUCACCUCUGUGACCUGUACGGCCUUCUGCACACAAGUUACGCUCUAGUGCUUCUCUCAUCAAUCAUCUGUGCACAUAAUCUAAGGUCACCUACCAGUCGGAACCCCUCUAACGGUCUGUACGACUGGCAUGUCGGAACCACCCCCGGUGGUCUGUACGACUAGCAUCUACUUGGAUCCAAGGCGAGCGUGCGAUGCGGUGAAUACUAUAAGCACUAAACUAUGGUGCAGGAUUUGAGCUCAAUAUACAUCAUCAUCAUAACAGUAAUUAAAUAUUCAUCUGUGCGUCCACCGCACCAUUUCAUACAUAUGCACCAUAAAUCAAUUCUUACCUGUGCGUCCACCGCACCAAUUCAUACAUAUGCACCAUAAAUCAAUUCUUACAUGUGCGUCCACCGCACCAAUUCAUACAUAUGCAUCAUAAAUCAAUUCUUACCUGUGCGUCCACCGCACCAAUUCAUACAUAUGCAUCAUAAAUCAAUUCUUACAUGUGCGUCCACCGCACCAAUUCAUACAUAUGCAUCAUAAAUCAAUUCUUACCUGUGCGUCCACCGCACCAAUUCAUACAUAUGCAUCAUAUAUUAAUUCAUGCAUGGCAUUUCAACUCACAUUUCUAUAUACUUUUCAUAUCAAUUCUAUGCAUGGUAUUUCACUUCCCGUUUUUCCACAUAACUCAUAUGCAUUUCAUUUUAAACAUAUUUUCAUUUCAAUUCAAUUUCUGGGAAACGUCAAGUAUAUAUAUAUAUAUACGGAAAACAAAACUGCCCACUCACCUGGAGUUCGUCCAACAACUCCCUAGCACCACACAUCAAGGCGUCAUGACGAUCGCCGCCUAGAAUAGUAAUCAAAUCCAGGCUCAGAAUUCAUAUCGAUAGAAUACAUAACUUAUAUAAAAUACGUCACUACGUAGAUUGAUCCGGAAGAUCCACCCCUCAGAUUUUAAAUCCAUAACUUCUAGAGGUCCACAUUAUACCUCUAGGACAACAUCCUAAAAUUUCAUUACCAUCCAACGGUCGGAUCUCCGUCAAUUUCCAAAACUAAGUGACGGUUAACAUUUUAUAUUAUGGACUUACAAUUCCAAUUCCGGAAGAUCCGUAACUCGGAUUCCCAAUCCGUAAGUUCCAAUAGUCCUUAAAUAUUACGUAUUACAACGUAUCAAAGUUUGGUGACGAUCCAACGGUCGGAUCAUCAAUUCACAUUUUCACCAAAACUAUAAAACGUUAUUCGAACACCUAACCAACAAUCCUCAAUAACUUUCUCAUACGGUGUUCAAUUUAGGUAUAUGAAUAUACCACAGUGAUCUACUCGACGUCACGGACGUCGACAUAUUUUUAAAAUAUUUUUAUUUUUAUUUUUUAUUUUACUGUAGCACCAUCUUCUUCCUUGGGUCGCCGGACUGGUUUUUCCGGCGGCCGUUUUCCGGGCAGUUUUUCAAAUUGCCAUAACUUUGUCAUUUCUCAACGAAAUCAAGUGAUUCAAAAACGAAAGUUGUAGCCCUUGAAGAGACAAAGAGAAUGGUACCUUUCCCAACACCUAGUUCGCCGUAGUUUGGCCGGAAACUGCCUCGAAAGCCUCGGAGGUCGCCGGAAACUGGGUAUUUUUCAAAUGAGUAUAACUUCUUCAAUACUCAACGAAAUUGAGUGAAACAAAAAGGAAAGUUGUAGUACUUGACGAGACGAAGAGAUUGAUACCUACCUCGACUCCUAACUCGCCGGGGAUUCGCCGGAAAAUGCCUCGAAAGCUCCGGCCAAACUUUGAACUCGUCGAUCUCCGUGUUCUUUCGUCCAAAAACUUCCAACGAAGCACUCCGAGCUUCCUUGGGACCUCACUAAGCUCGCUGUGAUCUUGUUUUAGCCUAAAACGUAGUUAUUUAAAAGAUGAUGAACAGUGCUCUUCCACGGGGAGUUUAGAAUCUAGGUUUUCCGAAGUAAAACUUACCUGAAAUUGGUGUCUACGUGAUCGUGGAGUCUCCAGGAGUUCGAUGGUGGUCUUAACUCCGUCGUUGGUGGAAGUUUAAGGUUGUUUUGUGGUUGGUUUGUUCGAACGGAGAAGAAGAGUGACAGAGAGAGAGAGAUUCGUGAGGGAGGAGAGAGAGAGACAGUAUGCAGAAAAUAGGGAGAGGAUUGAGGGAUGUGGGGAUCCCUCGUGGUCAUUUUCCAAUCCCCAACUCCAAACCACAAAAUUUUAACCUAAAAAUCUAAGUUCCAUCCUUAAUAAAUUCCAUUUUAUUUUCAAAACUUAGGAACCUAGAUAAUUAACAAUUUGAGCUUCACAUACUUAGUAUUUCUUAAGGGCAAUUUCGUCCAUUCACAGCCACGAAUGUAAUAUUUUGGAACGGGCUGUGACAUUGGGUUUAUAAAGGAUGA
rnacentral:lncRNA from 1 species